rnacentral:rRNA from 1 species
AUAGGGUCGGUUCGGCCGGGUUUCACACAGGUGUUGCAUGGCUGUCGUCAGCUCGUGUCGUGAGAUGUUGGGUUAAGUCCCGCAACGAGCGCAACCCUCAUCCUUAGUUACCAUCAGGUAAUGCUGGGGACUUUAAGGAAACUGCCAGUGAUAAACUGGAGGAAGGUGGGGAUGAUGUCAAGUCAUCAUGGCCCUUAUGGAGUGGGCUACACACGUGCUACAAUGGUGGCUACAAUGGGCUGCAAAGUCGCGAGGCUAAGCUAAUCCCUUAAAAGCCAUCUCAGUUCGGAUUGUACUCUGCAACUCGAGUGCAUGAAGUUGGAAUCGCUAGUAAUCGUGGAUCAGCACGCCACGGUGAAUACGUUCCCGGGCCUUGUACACACCGA